UACGGAGGGUGCAAGCGUUAUCCGGAUUCACUGGGUUUAAAGGGUGCGUAGGAGGGCAGGUAAGUCAGUGGUGAAAUCUCCGAGCUUAACUUGGAAACUGCCGUUGAUACUAUCUGCCUUGAAUAUUGUGGAGGUGAGCGGAAUAUGUCAUGUAGCGGUGAAAUGCUUAGAUAUGACAUAGAACACCAAUUGCGAAGGCAGCUGGCUACACAAAUAUUGACACUGAGGCACGAAAGCGUGGGGAUCAAACAGG
rnacentral:rRNA from 1 species